GAGCUGAGGACAGGGCAGUCCCAUGCCAACUGACAGAGGAGAAAGGCCUGGAACAAUGAUGUGAAGAGAAGCCUGACUGCAGCUGUCUGGAUCCAGUAGCAUCAGGAGAAGGAUCCAGAGGCAGAACUGAAGACAUUGGUAAAUUUGCUGUUGCUGGUGUGCUUGGGGGCAAGCUGUUCCUCACUUGACAACAGCAGAUGCAUCCACCCAGUACAAGGCCACGGGUCUCCCUUGUGAAAUCUGCUGUACUGGGAGGUGAAGAAAGAGUUUGGUGUUAAGGAGUGACCCCUCUGAUCAUCUUUCUUUCACUGCAGCAUGCACUCAGUUGUUCAAGAAGGUUCCCACAGCUCUUUGGAAGAGACAGUUUGAAACAUUAUGUCACUUCAUUUGCAUCUCUCCUCCCAAAAUGUUUCAUGUUAUUUAUUGCUUUACAGUUUGGGGAUAUGGGACUAGGUAUUCAGAAGUUUUCAAGUUACUCACUUUUUACCAUUUUUGUGCUUUUGUUAUUCAUUUAUAUUUGCAGUAAAGUUUUAGUCUUAUAA